CAGUCGCCACGGUAACACGAAGGGGGCUAGCGUUGUUCGGAAUUACUGGGCGUAAAGGGCGCGUAGGCGGCCAUUCAAGUUAGAUGUGAAAGCCCUGGGCUCAACCUAGGAAUUGCAUUUGAUACUGUUUGGCUUGAGUUCGGGAGAGGUGAGUGGAAUUCCCAGUGUAGAGGUGAAAUUCGUAGAUAUUGGGAAGAACACCAGUGGCGAAGGCGGCUCACUGGACCGACACUGACGCUGAGGCGCGAAAGCGUGGGGAGCAAACAGGAUUAGAUACCCCGGUAGUCCCUGUCUCUUAUAC
rnacentral:rRNA from 1 species